rnacentral:rRNA from 1 species
AGAGUUUGAUCCUGGCUCAGAAUGAACGCUGGCGGCGUGCUUAACACAUGCAAGUCGAGCGAGAAAGGCCUUCGGGCUUAGUACAGCGGCGGACGGGUGAGUAACGCGUAAGUAUCUGCCUUUUAGUGAAGAAUACCCUCGAGAAAUUGGGGUUAAUGCUGCAUAAGCUCCUUCGGGAGGAAAGAUGGCCUCUUUGCUGUCGCUAAAAGAUGAGCUUGCGUACUAUUAGCUAGUUGGUAGGGUAAAGGCCUACCAAGGCGAAGAUGGUUAGCCGGCCUGAGAGGGUGAACGGUCACAUUGGAACUGAGACACGGUCCAGACUCCUACGGGAGGCAGCAGUGAGGAAUUUUGCGCAAUGGGGGAAACCCUGACGCAGCGACGCCGCGUGAAGGAUGAAGGCUUUCGGGUCGUAAACUUCUGUUAAGUGGGAAGAAAUGCACAGUUUUAAUAGAACUGUGAGAUGACGGUACCACUAGAGAAAGCACCGGCUAACUUCGUGCCAGCAGCCGCGGUAAUACGAGGGGUGCAAGCGUUAUUCGGAAUAAUUGGGCGUAAAGGGUGCGCAGGCGGUAUAUUAAGUCAACUGUUUAAUUUCCCGGCUUAACUGGGAGUCAGCGGUAGAAACUGGUGUACUAGAGUAUGGAAGAGAGAAGUGGAAUUCUCGGAGUAGCGGUGAAAUGCGUAGAUCUCGAGAGGAACACCGAUGGCGAAGGCAGCUUCUUGGUCCAUUACUGACGCUCAUGCACGAAAGCGUGGGGAGCAAACAGGAUUAGAUACCCUGGUAGUCCACGCCGUAAACGAUGAUCACUAGACGUUACUACUGCUUGCAGUAGUAGUGUUGUAGCUAACGCGUUAAGUGAUCCGCCUGGGGAGUACGGUCGCAAGAUUAAAACUCAAAGAAAUUGACGGGGGUCCGCACAAGCGGUGGAACAUGUGGUUUAAUUCGAUAAUACGCGAGGAACCUUACCUAGAUUUGACAUGUUUUUGACAACCAUAGAGAUAUGGUCUUCUGAAAUUUAUUUCAGACAGAUACACAGGUGCUGCAUGGCUGUCGUCAGCUCGUGUCGUGAGAUGUUGGGUUAAGUCCUUUAACGAGCGCAACUCCUGCCGUUAGUUGCUAUUCAUUUAUGAAGCACUCUAGCGGGACUGCCUGGGAAACCAGGAGGAAGGCGGGAAUGACGUCAAGUCCUCAUGGUCCUUAUGUCUAGGGCAACACACGUGUUACAAUGGCUAGUACAGAGGGCUGCAAAUUCGUAAGAAUGAGCCAAUCCCAGAAAGCUAGUCUAAGUUCGGAUUGAGGUCUGCAACUCGACCUCAUGAAGUUGAAAUCGCUAGUAAUCGCGUAUCAGAACGACGCGGUGAAUACGUUCUCGGACCUUGUACACACCGCCCGUCACACCACGAAAGUUGUCUGCACCCGAAAUCAUUUUAGCUAACCUUAUGGGAGGCGAAUGCUGAAGGUGUGGGUAGUGAUUGGGGUGAAGUCGUAACAAGGUA